GAUGAACGCUGGCGGCGUGCCUAAUACAUGCAAGUCGAGCGAACGGACGAGAAGCUUGCUUCUCUGAUGUUAGCGGCGGACGGGUGAGUAACACGUGGAUAACCUACCUAUAAGACUGGGAUAACUUCGGGAAACCGUAGCUAAUACCGGAUAAUAUUUUGAACCGCAUUGUUCAAGAGUGAAAGACGGUCUUGCUGUCACUUAUAGAUGGAUCCGCGCUGCAUUAGCUAGUUGGUAAGGUAACGGCUUACCAAGGCAACGAUGCAUAGCCGACCUGAGAGGGUGAUCGGACACCCUGGCACUGAGACACGGUCCAGACUCCUACGGGAGGCAGCAGUAGGGACUCUUCCGCAAUGGGCGAGAGCCUGACGGAGCACCGCCGCGUGAGUGAUGAACGUCUUCGGAUCGUAAAACUCUGUUAUUAGGGAAGAACAUAUGUGUAAGUAACUGUGCACAUCUUGACGGUACCUAAUCAGAAAGCCACGGCUAACUACGUG
rnacentral:rRNA from 1 species